GAUGAACGCUGACAGAAUGCUUAACACAUGCAAGUCAACUGCGGCGGACGUGUGAGUAACGCGUAAAGAACUUGCCUCACAAAUAGGGCCAACAUUUGGAAACGAGUGCUAAUACCUGAUACUGUGAGAGAGCUUUGCGUCCCAUUAGCUAGUUGGAGAGGUAACGGCUGACAAAGGCGAUGAUGGGUAGCCGGCCUGAGAGGGGGAUGGGCCACAAGGGGACUUAGACAGGGCCAUUACAGCUACGGGAAUCAGGAGUGGGGAAUAUGGGACAAUGUGCCAAAGUCUGAAGCAGCGAUGCUGUGUGCACGAUUAAGUUUUCGGAAUUAAAAGUGCUUUGAGUUGUGAAGCGGUACCAACAGAAGAAGUGACGGCUAACUACGUGCCAGCCGCCGCGGUAAUAC
rnacentral:rRNA from 1 species